rnacentral:rRNA from 1 species
CGGGACGGGUGAGUAAUGUCUGGGAAACUGCCUGAUGGAGGGGGAUAACUACUGGAAACGGUAGCUAAUACCGCAUAACGUCGCAAGACCAAAGAGGGGGACCUCCGGGCCUCUUGCCAUCGGAUGUGCCCAGAUGGGAUUGGCUAGUAGGUGGGGUAACGGCUCACCUAGGCGACGAUCCCUAGCUGGUCUGAGAGGAUGACCAGCCACACUGGAACUGAGACACGGUCCAG